rnacentral:rRNA from 1 species
GAUGAACGCUAGCUACAGGCUUAACACAUGCAAGUCGAGGGGAAACGGCAUCGAAAGCUUGCUUUUGAUGGGCGUCGACCGGCGCACGGGUGAGUAACGCGUAUCCAACCUGCCCAUCACUUGGGAAUAACCUUGCGAAAGUAAGACUAAUGCCCAAUGACAUCCCACGAAGGCAUCCGAAUGGGAUUAAAGAUUUAUCGGUGAUGGAUGGGGAUGCGUCUGAUUAGCUUGUUGUCGGGGUGACGGCCCACCAAGGCAACGAUCAGGAGGGGUUCUGAGAGGAAGGUCCCCCACAUUGGAACCGAGACACGGUCCAAACUCCUACGGGAGGCAGCAGUGAGGAAUAUUGGUCAAUGGGCGAGAGCCUGAACCAGCCAAGUAGCGUGCAGGAUGACGGCCCUAUGGGUUGUAAACUGCUUUUAUAAGGGAAUAAAGUGGGUCACGUGUGACUUUUUGCAUGUACCUUAUGAAUAAGGACCGGCUAAUUCCGUG